rnacentral:rRNA from 1 species
ACGGGAGGCAGCAGUGAGGAAUAUUGGUCAAUGGAGGCAAUUCUGAACUAGCCAUCUCGCGUGAAGGAAUACGGCCCUACGGGUCUUAAACUUCUUUUAUAGGGGGAUAAAGUGAGAUAUGCAUAUCUUUUUGUAGGUACCCUAUGAAUAAGCAUCGGCUAACUCCGUGCCAGCAGCCGCGGUAAUACGGAGGAUGCGAGCGUUAUCCGGAUUUAUUGGGUUUAACGGGUGCGCAGGCGGCACGUUAAGUCAGCGGUGAAAUGUCGGGGCUCAACCCGGGCACUGCCGUUGAAACUGGCGAGCUCGAGUACGGAUGAAGUUGGCGGAAUGUGAUGUGUAGCGGUGAAAUGCUUAGAUAUGUCACAGAACACCGGUUGCGAAGGAAGCUGACUAAUCCGCAACUGACGCUCAGGAACGAAAGCGUGGGGAUCGAACAGGAUUAGAUACCCUGGUA